CCAUUGGUGCCUUUUGGUACUGUGGAUAGGGGUACGGUUUUCCACCGUACCGAAACCUAGCAGAGGGCCAGUCUGGUGCCAGCAGCUGCGGUAAUUCCAGCUCUGCGAGUUUGCUCCCAUAUUGUUGCAGUUAAAACGCCCGUAGUCUGAAUUGGCCAGCAAUGGUCGUACGUAUUUUUACGUUCACUGUGAACAAAUCAGGACGCUUAGAGUAUGGCCACAUGAAUGACUCAGCGCAGUAUGAAGUCUUUGUUUUCUUCCGAAAACAAGCUCAAUGAGAGCCAUCGGGGGUAGAUCUAUCUCAUGACGAGUGGUGGAAUACUUUGACUCAUGAGAGAGAAGCUGAGGCGAAGGCGUCUACCUAGAGGGUUUCUGUCGAUCAAGGGCGAGAGUAGGAGUAUCCAACAGGAUUAGAGACCCUGGUAGUUCCUACCUUAAACGAUGCCGACAGGAGUUUGUCAUUUGUUAAUGGCAGAAUCUUUGGAGAAAUCAUAGUUCUUGGGCUCUGGGGGAACUACGACCGCAAGGCUGAAACUUGAAGGAAUUGACGGAAGGGCACACCAGGGGUGGAGCCUGUGGCUUAAUUUGAAUCAACACGGGGAAACUUACCAGGACCAGAUGUUUUUUAUGACUGACAGGCUUCGGGUCUUUCAGGAUAUUGUUUUUGGUGGUGCAUGGCCGUUGGUGGUGCGUGGGUUGACCUGUCUAGCGUUGAUUCAGCUAACGAGCGAGAUUAUCGCCAAUUAUUUACUUUGCCGAAGUCCUUCGGUUAAAGUUCUAAUUGGGACUCCCUGCGAUUUUAGCAGGUGGAAGAAGGGUAGCAUAACAGGUCCGUGAUGCCCUUUAGAUGCUCUGGGCUGCACGCGUGCUUACAUGUUAGGAUCAAUAGGACUGCGAGCCUGAGA
rnacentral:ncRNA from 2 species